GCUUUGCGACAGAUAUUACGGGUACGGGGAUCAGGGUUCGAUUCCGGAGAGGGAGCCUGAGAAACGGCUACCACAUCCAAGGAAGGCAGCAGGCGCGCAAAUUACCCAAUCCAAACACUGGGAGGUGGUGACGAGAAAUACCAGGUCGUUCCCACAAGGAUUCGACACUGGAAUGGGUUGUAAGUUUAAAAAACUUACCGAGUAGCAACUGGAGGGCAAGUCUGGUGCCAGCAGCCGCGGUAAUUCCAGCUCCAGUAGUGUAUCCCAAAGUUGCUGCGGUUAAAACGCUCGUAGUUGGACAAUAGAGUAACUUGGUGCGGGCGGGGAGUGUUAAUACGAUUCUUGAGAGCUGUUUUUCUUACGAGAAAUAGUUUAAAAGUUUUUGUACCACUUGUCGACCUUGCAGCUGGGUUGCUUAGAUUAUUUUGUGAGAACAAUUUAUGGCCUUCAUUGUGCUGUAUAUUGUGUCUUGCAUAACGUGCCUUGAAUAAAUCAGAGUGCUCAAAGCAAGCUAACGCUUGAAUGUUAAUAGCAUGGAACGAAUGUUUUGUGAAUGCAAUGCUGGGGUUUUUUUAAAACUCUUGUAUUGUAGCACCAACCACGAAGCAGAGCAUUGGUUGCUGUCUUCGGGUGAUGAUUAAGAGGGGCAUUUGGGGGCAUUAGUAUUUGGACGCGAGAGGUGAAAUUCUUGGACCGUCCAAGGACUAACAAUUGCGAAAGCAUUUGCCAAGUUUGUUCCCAUUAAUCAAGAACGAAAGUGAGAGGAUCGAAGACGAUCAGAUACCGUCCUAGUUCUCACCGUAAACUAUGCCAACCCGGGAUCAGUUCGGAUUAUUAUAUUAGGAUCCAGGUUGGUCCCCCUGGGAAACCUUGAGUUUUUAGGUUCCGGGGGGAGUAUGGUUGCAAGGCUGAAACUUAAAGGAAUUGACGGAAGGGCACCACCAGGAGUGGAGCCUGCGGCUUAAUUUGACUCAACACGGGAAAACUCACCUGGUCCGGACAUCGAUAGGAUUGACAGACUAAUAGAUCUUUCAUGAUACGGUGGGUGGUGGUGCAUGGCCGUUCUUAGUUCGUGGAGUGAUCUGUCAGGUUGAUUCCGGUAACGAACGAGACCACGAUCUCCAUUUAGGGGCUUGUAAGCCUAUAAUUGUAGGCGUGUUAAACUCGUUUUAGCAUUACUACUUUUAUGCAUGAUUUACGAUAUAUGCGCAGAAAUGUGCAUCCUAUGAGAGACUUC
rnacentral:rRNA from 1 species